UGGCCCGCGAUCCGGCGCGGACAUCAGCCUUAGAUAUAAAACCCUAUUAACCUCUUCACCAGUUCUCCCACUCGCAACGCGAGCCUCGCGUCUCUCUUUUCCCAUGGGGGCUCUCCGACUCCCAUCCCUCGCCCUCCUCUUCUCCCCAUCCAAAGCCCUCCGAUCCUCCUCCGCUUCCCGCCCCCUCCGCCUGCGGCCACCGGUCAUUCGCAAGGUCUCCGCCUCCCUCUCCGGUGGCGCAAGCAGAGCUCUCUCCACCCAGAGCCUCGCCAACGAGGAGGCCACGCCGCCAUCCGCGGCUGACCGAAAGCCCUCCUCGGGCCCGGAGGGUUCGGUGACCCCUCGAUCGGUGGACUUCAAUGCGUGGUACCUUGAUGUUAUCGCCAGCGCGGAGCUCGCGGACUAUGGCCCUGUCCGCGGCACCAUGGUCAUCCGCCCAUAUGGCUAUGCCAUCUGGGAAUCCAUCCAGGAAUAUCUGAAUUCAAAGUUCAAGGAAACUGGACAUAGCAAUAUGUACUUUCCUCAGUUUAUUCCAUACUCAUUUAUAGAGAAGGAAGCGAGCCAUGUUGAAGGUUUCAGUCCAGAAUUAGCACUUGUGACCAUUGGAGGAGGAAAGGAACUUGAAGAAAAACUUGUGGUACGACCAACAAGUGAGACCAUUGUGAAUCAUAUGUUUACUCAAUGGAUACAAAGUUAUCGUGAUCUUCCUCUAAUGAUUAAUCAGUGGGCUAAUGUCACAAGAUGGGAAAUGAGGACUAAGCCGUUUGUGAGGACACUUGAGUUCCUGUGGCAGGAGGGUCAUACAGCUCAUGCAACUCUAGAGGAGGCAGAAAAGGAGGCAUUACAGAUGAUUGAUGUCUACAGGAAAUUUGCUUAUGAGCAAGCUGCAAUACCUGUUAUUGCAGGUAGAAAAUCAAGGGCUGAGACAUUUGCUGGUGCUACUCAGACCUAUACAAUUGAAGCUAUGAUGGGUGAUAGAAAGGCUUUACAAGCUGGAACUAGCCAUAAUCUUGGCCAGAACUUUUCUCGUGCCUUUGGAACACAGUUUACUGAUGAAAAUGGACAAAGGCAACAUGUAUGGCAGACUUCCUGGGCUGUUAGCACCAGAUUCAUUGGUGGUAUUAUCAUGACUCAUGGAGAUGAUGCUGGCCUAAUGCUUCCUCCCAGAAUAGCACCUAUACAAGUGAUAAUAGUGCCCAUUUGGAAGACAGCUGAUGAAAGAACAGAAGUUUUAAAUGCUGCAGCCUCCCUUGAGAGAACACUGAGAGCAGCAGGAAUCAAAGUCAAAGUUGAUGACUCAGAGCAGAGGACCCCAGGAUGGAAAUUCAAUUUUUGGGAGAUGAAAGGUGUCCCUUUGAGGAUAGAAGUUGGACCUCGUGAUAUUGGUAACAGGAGUGUGGUUGUAUGUAGGAGAGACAUCCCAGGAAAGCCUGGUAAGGAUUUUGGGAUAUCCAUGGAGCCUUCAAAAUUGGAAUCUCAUGUGAAGAGCAGGUUAGAGGACAUACAGGCAUCGCUUCUACAGAGGGCUAUAUCAUUCCGUGAUGGGUAAAUCUUAAUAUUCUAACAUCCAUUACCUACGUUGACUUGCUUGAAUCAGAAGUUUUAUGCAACUUAUAUGCCACCAGUGGUAAAGAACGGUAGAAUGGUACAUGUGCAAAUCCAGUUCUCUCUAUGAAAUUAACAUUGUGGAUGUGAACUCGUAUGAGGAGCUCAAGGCUGUAAUUGGUCAAGGAAAAUGGGCAAGGGGUCCAUGGUCAGCUGGUGAUAACGAGGAGUUGAAGGUGAAAGAAGAGACAGGUGCCACGAUAAGAUGCUUUCCGUUUGAGCAGCCCCUGGGGAAGAAGACAUGCUUCAUGACCGGUAAUCCAGCAGAUGAAGUUGCAAUUUUUGCAAAAUCUUACUAGGUUCUUUUGUAUCACCCUUUUCCAAAUGACUAGUUCAAGAGAAUUUUUUCCUCUUAUUUUACCAAUGUAUUCAUGUAACAAUAUUAAUUUACAUCUUGGACCCUUGCUCAUUUAAAUUAUCUAAACUAUAGAGUCAUCUGUUCAUUUCUAUGUAUUGGUACUUGUAAAUCUAUGAUUAUAAUUUAUCUCUAAAUUAAAAGACUGGCACAUGAGUUCUU